GCCCUCUUUGCCAGUAUACAGUAUAGAAAGUUUGAAACCAUAAGAUAUUAAAAUAAAUUCAUAAAUAGACAGAGAGAAAACAACUGAGUGUUUUAUUCUUAUGUUGAGAAGGGAAAAUGCUAAUGUUAUAUCCUCCUCUGUUCUAUUGUUCUUCUGCAGGUCUUUAACCAGUCCAACUCUUGGCAGGUACAGAAUACUAAAGGACCAUUUUAUUUCUAAAUGAGUCUGGAUGGCGCACCACAAAGACUGGAAAUGCUACUGCCCUUUCAUUUUAAAUGGCUAUCGGGUUCAUCCUACACAUAAAACCCAUCACAGAAAAUGAAUAUAAGCGGUAGGAGAAGAGACUGGAGAUGUGAACUGUCCCUCUGGAACGGGCUGCCAUUAAGUUUACUAAAAAUGUCUGAUGGUUUCACCCAGACAGUUAGGAGAGCUGUGUCUAAACGGGAUCCAGAUCUCUGUUGUGUUCAUGGGUUGAAGAUGAAGAUAUUACAUUUGAUCUGAAUUUGUGCUGAAAUACCGUGGCGUUUGAUUGGAUGUAGUGCCUAUGAUGUCAACACAACAAAAAUGUAAGGUAAAUGUUGCAUUUGUUUGUUUGUUUGUUUGUUUUUUGGCAUUGCGUUGCAUCACAUUGCAUUUAAAACAUCCAUCCCAACUGACUUUAAUCUUUGUUGAGUUUAAUGGUCACCAGUACUAGGUUUGUUUAGGCAAUUUUUUUAAGCAUGACUGAAAAGUGGCGAGCCAUCCUGUAAUCACUCUAUCCCAGCACCAGUUUAUUCAAUUACUCCUUUUAAAAACUAUCCCAAAGCACAUCUGUUUACAGACUUUUCAUCAGGCUAUUUAAUUUCACAAAAUUAUCACAAUUAAAAUCAUCACAAUUAAAAGAAACAAAGUCUUAAACUACUUUAGUCUGUGUGCAUUGAAUUUAUUUAAUACACGAGUUUCACAAUUUGAGUUGAAUUACUGAAAUGAACUUUUCCACGACAUUCUAAUUUAUUGAGAUGCACCUGUAUAUCUGUUAAGCACUGUUUUAAAAGGUGUUCUAUAAAUAGUUUUACUUGCAUUGUCAGUAUUCAAGAGAACAAUGUCUUCAAAAUGGCUGCUAGAAGAUGGUGUUUUUUUCUUCUCUUUUGUUUCUGCAAUACAAGCAAAAAUUUUUAGAAGUAAAAACAAUAGGCUUGUAAUAUCAUUCCCAACAUAUAGACAAAAAUUUGAAUUUGCACACACAACAGUGAGUGAUGUAUUUUGACAUGGCAGAUGAGGUCUGCAGGAAUGAAAGAGAGAGAGACUAUCCGGUUCAUUCAGGUUUAGUUAGUAUUCCACUGGGAACAGGAUUGUUUCCCUGAGUAGCAUUCCUUCAAUGUCCUGUGGCCGGUGUUCCUUGUUAGGCUGUGGCCCUUCCAAUGGAGAAAAGAGAUAGAUAGAGGGAAAUAAAUAAAUAAAGAAGAGAGAGCGAGUGGGAUGA
ensembl:lncRNA